rnacentral:rRNA from 1 species
AUGGCCGCAGUAAUUUGACUGUGCAAAGGUAGCAUAAUCAAUAGUUUUUUAAUUAAAAGCUUGUAUGAAUGGUUGGACGAAAUAAAAUCUGUCUUUAUUUAAUUUAAAUUAGAAUUUAAUUUUUAAGUUAAAAAGCUUAAAUUUUAUUAAAAGACGAGAAGACCCUAUAGAUCUUUAUUUUAAUAAUUAUUUAUUUAAUUAAGAUUUAUUUAUUUUAAAUUUAUGUUAAAAUUUUAUUGGGGUAAUAAAAAGAUUAAUUUAAUUCUUUUUAAUAUUAUUUAUUUAUGUAUAUAAUUUAUGAUCCAUUAAUAUUGAUUAUAAGAUUAAGUUACCUUAGGGAUAACAGCGUAAUUUUUUUAGAGAGUUCAUAUUGAUAAAAAAGUUUGCGACCUCGAUGUUGGAUUAAAGAUUAAUUUAGGUGUAGAAGUUUAAAUUUUUGGUCUGUUCGACCAUUAAAUCUUUACAUGAUCUGAGUUUAGACCGGCGUAAGCCAGGUCGGUUUCUAUCUUUAUUAAAUUAUAAUAUUUUAGUACGAAAGGACC